rnacentral:pre_miRNA from 1 species
GCCGACUCUGCAGUGCGACGGGCGGAGCUUCAGGACGCCCCGCCUCCUGUUCCGCCCCACGUCGUAUGCGACCCGGAGACGCGUGGGGCGGAACUUCCGGACGCCCCGCCCUGCUGCCGAUCCUGC